UACAAAACUCUGAAACUCAACCUGUUAUAAACAGCCCUUCUCUACGAAACAGCCCUUCUCUACAAAACUCUGAAAACUCUGAAACUCAACCUGUUAUAAAACAGCCCUUCUCUACGAAACAACCCUUCUCCACAAAACCGCCCUCCACGAAACAGCCCUCUACGAAACCGCCCUCCUCCACAAAACGACCCACAACGUUUAGCUUCAACAGUUACUCCUGCCAAUCUUGGAAAGAGGCUGACAAUUAUACCCGAAAGGUUAACAUAUGAUAAAAAUCAUGUUGAUGCGAACAAGAAGAAUAACAGAAGGGGUCGCAAGAGGAGGAAGACAUGAGAGUCGGCGACAGAGGCAACUACCAACGCGGGUUAUUACAUCUGAUGCAGCAGCUAGCAGCAGAGUAGCAGCAGCCAGCAGGAGCAUGUAAUAUGAAUGUUUUUAUUUGGAUGAAUAUUUUUAUUUGGUUGAAUUGUUUGGAUUACUAUGAAUGCUUUUAAGGGUUACUAUUGGGAUUACUAUGAAUGCUUAUUUGGAUGAAUGUAUCAUCUCGAACUUCA